rnacentral:rRNA from 1 species
GACGAACGCUGGCGGCGUGCUUAACACAUGCAAGUCGAGCGGUAAGGCCCUUUCGGGGGUACGACGAGCGGCGAACGGGUGAGUAACACGUGGGUGACCUGCCCUCAGCUCUGGGAUAAGCCUGGGAAACCGGGUCUAUACUGGAUAUGACUCCAUGACGCAUGUUGUGGGGUGGAAAGCCUUGUGCGGCUGAGGAUGGGCCCGCGGCCUAUCAGCUUGUUGGUGGGGUGANGGCCUACCAAGGCGACGACGGGUAGCCGGCCUGAGAGGGCGACCGGCCACACUGGGACUGAGACACGGCCCAGACUCCUACGGGAGGCAGCAGUGGGGAAUCUUGCGCAAUGGGCGAAAGCCUGACGCAGCGACGCCGCGUGAGGGAUGACGGCCUGG